UACGUAGGGGGCAAGCGUUGUCCGGAUUUAUUGGGCGUAAAGAGCUCGUAGGCGGUUCAGCAAGUCGGGUGUGAAAAAUCUGGGCUCAACCCAGUGGAGCACCCGAUACUGCUGUGACUAGAGUCCGGUAGGGGAGUGUGGAAUUUCUGGUGUAGCGGUGAAAUGCGCAGAUAUCAGAAGGAACACCAACGGCGAAGGCAGCACUCUGGGCCGGUACUGACGCUGAGGAGCGGAAGCGUGGGGAGCGAACAGG
rnacentral:rRNA from 1 species